GCGUGCGUUUGUGUUUAUUAACCGCUAGCGCGCCAAAAAGCACAUAGUGUUGCUUUAACAGUCCUAAAUGUAACGAAUCUUCUCCAGAUAAUUAUUUGAUACAGUCGAAAUGAAUUGCUGACAGAGAGACGGUGGCAUUUAUAUCUCGGCGUGGAUGAGAAGAGAACCUCAGCUGAGACACAUGUGAACUGUGAACUUACCCUAUGGUUAAAGGUGUGUGUGGAGAUCUGUGUGGGUCAGAUGAGCAUCAGAGAAGAUUCUUCUACUCACAUCCACAAUCAGGAAGUCCAGCCAGCACCAGUAGUUAGUGAAGUAUUUCUUAAAGCCAUACGCGAUCCACUUCAGAAACAUCUCCAGCACGAAGAUGUAGCUGAACACCUUAUCAGCAUAUUCCAACACCACCUUCACCACCUUCCUCUGUUCAAUGUAAAUGUCUUCAAAUGCCUGACCACAAGAAGAAUAUCAUACCACAAGCUCCACUGCUGAGGAGGAUCAUGAAGAUGAUGAAGGUCUCAAACCAGCUGUGUUCCACUAUCUGAUAGCACGUCUUCCUCAACCUCCACCAUGCUUGACCAAGACCUCUCGUCGUGUUGAUAUUGCAACACUUACAGCGCUGUAUACAGACUGGAGAGAUACAGAGAGAUCAGCUCCUGACAAGAUACAGUAUGUCAAAGUGGAAGCAAUGGCCACAUGUGUUUCAUUAUAUCCUUACACUCAGGGAAACACUCUUCUGGAUCCAUGCCAUCAUCUGCCAUCUCCGAAUAUUCCUCCUCAUCUUCCCCAGGCUUCCUCAAGUCCACAGUACUUCCUUCAGAGAGGCUGACGACUUCCUGUUGAACAAGACCGCAAAGCUUGCAUUGAGUUUCAAAUAAAAAUGUACUUCAAAACCAA